CGGCCGCACUAGUGAUUUCUGUUUGAUCCCGGCGGAGGCUACUGCUAUUGGGGUUCGAUUAAGCCAUGCAAGUUGAACGAUUCUUCGGAAUCGUGGCGAACGGCUCAGUAACACGUGGAUAACCUACCCUUAGGACCGGUAUAACCCUGGGAAACUGGGGACAAUCCCGGAUAGGUGAUUUUUUCUGUAAUGAUUUUUCAUUUAAAUGCUCCGGCGCCUGAGGAUGGGUCUGCGGCAGAUUAGGUAGUUGGUAGGGUAAUGGCCUACCAAGCCGGUGAUCUGUACGGGUUGUGAGAGCAAGAGCCCGGAGAUGGAACCUGAGACAAGGUUCCAGGCCCUACGGGGCGCAGCAGGCGCGAAACCUCCGCAAUGCGAGAAAUCGCGACGGGGGGACCCCAAGUGCCACUCUUAACGGGGUGGCUUUUCUUGAGUGUAAAAAGCUUUUGGAAUAAGGGCUGGGCAAGACCGGUGCCAGCCGCCGCGGUAACACCGGCAGCUCUAGUGGUAGCCAUUUUUAUUGGGCCUAAAGCGUUCGUAGCCGGUUUGAUAAGUCUCUGGUGAAAUCCUGUAGCUUAACUGUGGGAAUUGCUGGGAGAUACUAUUAGACUUGAGGUCGGGAGAGGUUAGCGGUACUCCCAGGGUAGGGGUGAAAUC
rnacentral:rRNA from 1 species